rnacentral:misc_RNA from 1 species
UGGACAACAUUGGAUGCACCAUUAAAGCAGGUACAAACAAUUCGGUUGAAGUCCUUGGCAACGGGAAAGCCAUCUGAAAAGAGAAGCUCUUUCGGAAUCACAGUCCAACCUAGACGGACUCCAGUAAACCCAGCAUACUUGCUAAAUGAUGCCGUCUCAAGUGCAACCUCUUUGGCUCCAGGAAUUUCAAAUAUGGAACGUGGCUUAUCAUCAGUUAUAUACAUUGCAUAUGCUGAAUCAUAGACAAU